UAAGAGGUCCAGCCUGCCCGGUGACAAAGUUUAACGGCCGCGGUACCCUAACCGUGCGAAGGUAGCAUAAUCACUUGUUCUUUAAAUAGGGACUAGUAUCAACGGCAUCACGAGGGUUACACUGUCUCCUUUCCCCAAUCAGUGAAACUGAUCUCCCCGUGAAGAAGCGGGGAUAUAACUAUAAGACGAGAAGACCCCAUGGAGCUUUAAGCUCAACAGCACCUCUAUAAAAAUACACCCCCGUAACCCAAGAGUCCUGUUUGUUAGCUUUAGGUUGGGGUGACCGCGGGGUAUAAUAUAACCCCCACGACGAAUAGGCCUAAAACCUUUAUCCAAGAGCCACUGCUCUAAGAAUCAUAAAAUUGACGUAAAAUGAUCCGAUUUUCGAUCAACGAACCAAGUUACCCUGGGGAUAACAGCGCAAUCCAUUUCAAGAGCCCCUAU
rnacentral:rRNA from 1 species